rnacentral:ncRNA from 1 species
CGCUCCGGAGAAAUCCGAUAUCGGAUGCCGAAGGUGCAAGGCUGCGUUUUCGCGGUCAAUCUCUCAGGCAAAAGGACGGAAG